CGGCUUGGAUAGCAACCUUAGAUUUGUUUCGGGACUAUAUCUUGUGAAAGGAUGAAAUAGUAUGAAUAAAUUCAUUAGAAUUCAAUUUUUUUAUUAAAACAUGUCAAUCAUUAUUUGAAUACGUUGGUAACAUUGGUCUUGGGCCUAACAACACCCGUGCCAAUAUAUCCUUCAAACACCGGCUUCUCGGGCGUUAGCACUUAAAUGUUAUACGUUUGAAAACAUUAUUGGCAUUGUGGGAUUUGAUUUUCAUGAUACCAAGCAUGGAUUUAUGGUUUGGUUAGCUAAACUAGCAAGGCUGUUUGUUUGGUUAUCAAGGCAACUACUGUAUCUAUCUAGUAAACUUGUCAACUACUUCAUUUGAAUGUUUCUAGUGGCAAAUGUGUUACUGCAUAUCCUUGGACAUCCUGCAAUAAUUUUCUGUUUAGACAGUUCUUAUUCAUGGUAAUUCACCCUUACGAAAAAUAUAUUGCAGUCAGAGAGCAGUAUAACUGCAGUACACUACAGUAUAACUGCAGUUAGUGUGCAGUAAUAACUCCAGUUAGAGUGCUGUAUAAAUGCAGUAUGCUGCAAAUACUCCGUCCAAAAUAACAUUUUUUUUACUGCAGUAAUUUUGCAGUUUAACUGCAUUUACAGCGCAGUAUAACUGCUGUUCAACUGCAGUUAUUCUGCAAUUGCUGAGUCCAAAAUACCACAGUCGACUGCAGUUACUGCGCUUUUACUGCAGUUUUAAACUUAAACUCAUUUUUUUGUACAGGAUCACUACGGAGCUAUAGCCGGUGCGUCGAGGAACACACGUUCCACGUCAUUCAUUAUUUUCCAUAGAAUGCAUAUCCCCUCGUUGACUAAUACAUAACCUUUGACUUAUACUAACUUCUUUCUACUCUCUUUACUUCCUGCUGACCUUCCCUGCCGGCCAUAUAACACUGUCACCGAUAGGAUGACGAGGAGGGCAUUUGGGCGUAAUCGUGUCCAUGACAACCAAAGCUCUGACGUUCGGAGGGAUGAUUCAGUUACUGUUGGAGGAGCACAGCCAUUCCAUGAUGCUGAAAUACAUUGACUACCUACCAACCUUUUGUUACCACCAUACAAUCCACACUUCAAUGGGGCCUUUAUUUUUAUUUUUUGAUGAGGAGGAGGAGGAGGAAGAGGAGGGAUGAAGCAGGUGGGAGGGCCAGAUGAGGAGACUGAUAGUUGAGGUACAACCCAGUUCUAGAUUCAGACCAACUUAAUGUGGAGAGUCCUCUUUAGGUUGCAAAAUUCCCAGGUUUUUGAGAAAUGCUUAUUCUUUCCUGAUUCCAGGAAUCUUCCAUCCGGGAUACAUUUAUAGAUGUAGAAUAAAG
rnacentral:lncRNA from 1 species